rnacentral:lncRNA from 1 species
AGCAAGUAAUCUUAAUAUAAAUAAGUUGUAACUAUUUUUCAUUCAUUGAUGAAAUUAGUUUUACAACACAUACAUUCUCCUCUAAAUUCCCAUCAUAUUAAUUCAUCUUUAUCACUCAUAGUUAGACUACAAAACAAACAAGAAGUGGUAUAUGUUGUGCUAAUAAUUGGCAUGAGAGCCUUGAUUUAAAAUUUUUGGGAAACACCGAAGAUUUAUGAAGGGAUCAAUCUAUAGGAAACACGAGUGAAGUGUGAAUGAUCUCAAAAAGUUUCUUGCAUAGUAAUCGUGAAUGUGAAUGGUGGUUUUCCAUCAAAUCUUUUCAUUCUUGAUGGAAACAAUUAAGAACGAUGAAGCCUUUUUCUUAGUUGCGCCUUUGAGAUUAAGCCUUCAAGCAAGAAGAAACCAUGGGUCUAAAGAUCCUAUAGUUUGAAACCUCUAAUUCAACACAAGCCAAACAUCCAAAGCAAGGUGUACCAAAUGUACAACACAUGUUGUACCCUCCAAUACAUUUCAUUUGAUAACUACAUCCUAUAGUUGAAGAGUAAUCAACAUGAUGAACAUGUGGAAUGUGAAACAUAUGAAGGAGACUUUGCAUGAUGAUUAUCUGAUCAUUGCAUCUUGUUAAAGAUAAUUAACCACCAAGCUCAUAUCGUCUAAUCUGAUGGUCAUAAAACCACAUUCUCUAAUAAAGUGCCUUUGGUGUUUAGUAUCUGAAGGUUAUCUGGUGACUCAACAUUCUCUGUUGAUUCAACUCCUUUAAUACAAGCCUAAAUGUCAAUCUAAAAUAAUUAUGAACGAGGCAAAAUCGCUCUGUAAUGGGAGGAUUAGAUGUAAGAACAUGUUGUUGUAAACUAGUAUAAAAAUAUAUGUGCAUUUUCUUCUUCUCCUUCUUCUCUUCAUUUUGUUGAUGUUCACUACAAUUUAACUCCACCCAUUGAUAAAACUGUUUUAAAUAUGUGUUAAACGUUUUGGUAUAGAACAUUCUUUAAAGGAUUAAAUAUUCAAAUUGACCAUGUAAUAUAUAAUUUUUUUUUUUGAAGCACAUGUAAUAUAUACAUGAAAGCUAAAAAAAUGACCAUGUAAAUAAAAUACAGAUUCUACUAUUGUAAUUGGAGAUUCUUCCUAUUUUUGAUCUCAUAUUUUUCUCUGUAGGCGUGAAGUUUAGAAAAGUUACUUAGAAGUUGAUUUUUUUCAUAUUUUUUUUGCAAGAAUGUUUAGGACGCUAAAAUAUAAAUUUUCACGUAAAAUUAUAAUUUUCGAAUAAAAGAAAAUUUGAUUAUGAAUUUUUAAAGCUUUAAAAGCGCUAACAAC